GACGAACGCUGGCGGCGUGCUUAACACAUGCAAGUCGAACGGUAAGGCCCUUCGGGGUACACGAGUGGCGAACGGGUGAGUAACACGUGGGUGAUCUGCCCUGCACUUCGGGAUAAGCCUGGGAAACUGGGUCUAAUACCGGAUAGGACCACUGCCUGCAUGGGUGGUGGGGGAAAGCUUUUGCGGUGUGGGAUGGGCCCGCGGCCUAUCAGCUUGUUGGUGGGGUGAUGGCCUACCAAGGCGACGACGGGUAGCCGGCCUGAGAGGGUGACCGGCCACACUGGGACUGAGAUACGGCCCAGACUCCUACGGGAGGCAGCAGUGGGGAAUAUUGCACAAUGGGCGCAAGCCUGAUGCAGUGACGCCGCGUGAGGGAUGACGGCCUUCGGGUUGUAAACCUCUUUCAGCACCGACGAGGCGCAAGUGACGGUAGGUGCAGAAGAAGGACCGGCCAACUACGUGCCAGCCGCCGCUGUAACAC
rnacentral:rRNA from 1 species